rnacentral:misc_RNA from 1 species
GGAAUUUUGAAUCCGAAAGGAAAUCAAGUUCAGAAAAAAAAAAUUAUAAAACUCAAAACGAACAUAUUAUAUAAAUCUACUCUGAGUGAAAUUGGCAUUUCAAAGAGCCAUCAGUUACUGCUUUUAAACCAGAAGAAAAACCAUUGCCUAGCAUAAAGUAUAAUUAACCCAUCAGGUGGAAACAUGAGCAACAAGUUCAAUACACAUAUCCAUUACGUGUAUAGAAUAAAAACGAUUAAACAAAAAUAACUUAAGUUCCCAGAUUCUGAUUAUUACACAUCAAACUCUGACUGAUCCAAGCCAUCAUCUCUUCUUACUAAUCAGAGUACAUAAACAACAGUGAAUUUAAUAAAUCCCAACCAAAAGCAGUAUCCCACACUAAGUAAACCAACCAAUUAGAAAAACACUGAACCAUCGAAUCUGGCCAUACCCAUCAAGAUUUUUCGCCCAGAAACUGAUAAUUAAGGUUCAGAUAUAUCUUAUUUAUUCGAAAAAUUGAAGGUCAUAAGAUCAAGAAAGCUCUCUUUUCAACAAACUUCGGUGGCCCAUAAUUUUUUUUCAAAAGUAAAGAAAGAUAAUAAUUAUAGCAAUGGCAUGUACUGUGAUCUAAAACAGAGAGAAAGAUAGGUAGCAGAAUAGCAGAAAAUUUUGAAACGUAACAGCAAAAAUCUUGAAUUUCUGUGUGCGACAAGCAGAGGAGACUCACCUAAAGAAGCGGAUUUGUGUUGGGUUAAAAGAUCUGCGAGAAGCUGUUGAUGAAUGAUGACUUGAUGUGUCCGC